CUAUUAGAAUCAAUGCAAUUUUCUGCCCGGGACGCAAAAUCAGCUGCAGAAUGCAGAAUGCAGAUUGAGCAAAAUAAAAUAAACUUGAAACUUCAAUCUUUUCCUCGCCUGCAGAUCAAUAAAGUAAUCACUAAUUGAAUGCAUUACAUUUAAUCAAGAUAACUUCGUGGUCGUCAUCAACGAAGGCCACACCAAAUCUCGGCUUACCGUCACCUAUGCACGGAUAACCCUCGCUGUCUAGAGAUCCAACUAUGCCGAAGUUAUCGAAAAACAAGCUCCGAUGCAGGCAACAAUUGCUCGAUUAUAGCAAUGGGAGACGUCUACUGAAAGCUGCACCGCUUCACUCUUGCAUUUUGUGUUGCACCCCCACUCGGAAAACUUAUCGGGUGGUUGAUGGCAAGAAAUUGGUGGAGGCGAAAGGCGCCCGAAUUCUAUUUUUGCUGCAAAAAAUACUACAAUUUCCACCCGACCGGUGUUCCGACUUGGAGGCGAGAUACGGUCAUCCGACAGAGUGGGUUGUCCUGUGUGACACUUGCGACACCGUGGUGGCCAAGGGGAAGGAUUUGUCCGAGAAAAUGGAUCAUAUUUGCGCCCAGAUUCGCCAACUUCAAGCUCGGAUUGACCAACAUAAUACAAAUUUUGAGACACAUCGCGAACAGUUUAGCCAACUUGAAUUUACUGUAAAAAAUCAGAUCAUAAAAGUUAAAGAGGAGCUUAGAGAGGAGGAGGAGGUAGUAGUAGAAGAAGUCGGUCAGGGAGACCAAGGCAAGAUUAUUGAAGGCAUUGUUAAAGAAGUGCGUGCUUAUUUGGUUCAAGGCGAGGGUGGGUAUGUUUUUGGUGAAACGGGUAGAGAAGAAGACGAAGAAGAAGUCGAUUUUGGAACGAUUAAGGUCGAAGAGAGUGUAGAGAUGGAUACUUACCCUAUUCUAGAUUUUGAAGAUGCUCUUCUCGGAGCGGAAAUUACCCCGGAUGCGGAUGAUGAUGAUAAUGCUGACGAUCCGCUUAAAAUAGAAUUAGAUCUGGAUUAUCGUCAUUCUCAGAGGGAUAAAGGUGAAGAUGACACAAUUCACAAGGAAAAAAGUACAAAGUCAAAACAACUUGUGAAUGAUGACGUGACAAAGGCUCCAUCAACACCCAUAAAAGCCACACCUCCCGCAGAAGAAACUUUAUACCACUCCCCACAACUCUACAUCCCUUCCUGGACCUGGACAGACUUUGUCAAAUGGCGCACUGAUCUCCUUCGCAAUAUCGACGAGGCAAAAUCCACCAAUUUGGGAACUCUCCCACCCGCCCUACAGGUCCCCACACUGGCCUGGUUGGCAGAAAAAUAUGCAAUUUCCGACUUCCCCUGCCCUCACUGUGUCAAAGUCUUCGUCACCUUUGAAGGCUGGUCGCAUCACGUGACACCCUGUGAAGAACGGAGUCGCCGACCUGGAUAUAAAUGUGGCCAUUGUCUAUUUAACUUUCGGGACGCGAGAUCACUAGAAGAACACUUACGAAAACUACACGUCCCAAAGAAGCACUUAACUUGUGCCGGAUGUAGUGAAACUUUCGUCUGUAUGACGUCCUUUAAUUACCACGUUUCUGAAGAGAAGAUCUGUCUCGAAAAAGCCAUCGCGUGCAAGACAUGUUCCCAGCGGGGACGGCAGCCUAAUUAUUUCUCGUCACGAGAAGCUCUAGAACUUCAUGAAAAUACGAGACAUCCGCCAAAUCAUUUACUGCCGUACGCAUGCACUCAAUGUUCGAAACGAUUUAGUAGCGAGCAUGUAAUGAAGGCACAUAUGGUCAGCCUUCACAGUCCUGAGGAAGAUCUUGUCGCUGUGUGUGAAAUCUGUGGAGCUAAAUUGAAGGGGGCAGCCUUGCUAAGGUGCCAUAUUGCGAGUGUGCAUCAAUCCAGAGAACCCGGAGCGAAGAGAUUCAUUUGUGAUGUGUGCGGAAAAGGGUUGAUUUCGAAGAGUAAGUUGACUCGACAUAAACAAAUCCAUAUUCGACCGGAAGACGCGCCACAUUUGUGUUCCGAAUGUGGCAAGAAGUUUCGACUGAGGGAGUAUUUGACCAUUCACAUGAGGUCGCAUGACCCCGAGAGGCGAGGACAGUACAAGGGGAGGCCGAGAGGAUGUCCGGAGAGGAAGGGAGUGGCUGGGGCGAAAAUCGGGCGACCGCCGGUGAAUGAAAAGAAGGGAGAUGAACAAGAGCCUGGUGAGGAAGAACUGGAUAAUUCAUAAUUAAAUAUGUAAAUACAACAAGGAUGUAAAUGAUGGUAGUUGUUAAUUGCUGGGGCUAAUGAUUUCCAUGAAUUUGUAAUUAAUAUGUGAUUAUCAAUGAGUAUAAUUUAUGUAAAAUGAAUCUGUUACAGGGUAGAGUACAAAUAGCUUACAAUGCACAUUCUUUUUUACAUUUCACGUCACUCCACCACAUUAUGUAGAUACUUGUAUUGAAUCAGGAAUCCAUUUAUUUAUUGAUUUGUUAAAAUAAAAUAAUUUUGAAUUCAAGACAA